GGACAGAUGGCCGAGUGGUUAUGGCGUGUGACUCAAGUUCUCAUGGGCUUAGCCCGCGGGGGUUCGAAUCCCCCUCUGUUCA
rnacentral:tRNA from 4 species